AACGCUGGCGGCGUGCCUAAUACAUGCAAGUCGAACGAACUCUGGUAUUGAUUGGUGCUUGCAUCAUGAUUUACAUUUGAGUGAGUGGCGAACUGGUGAGUAACACGUGGGAAACCUGCCCAGAAGCGGGGGAUAACACCUGGAAACAGAUGCUAAUACCGCAUAACAACUUGGACCGCAUGGUCCGAGUUUGAAAGAUGGCUUCGGCUAUCACUUUUGGAUGGUCCCGCGGCGUAUUAGCUAGAUGGUGAGGUAACGGCUCACCAUGGCAAUGAUACGUAGCCGACCUGAGAGGGUAAUCGGCCACAUUGGGACUGAGACACGGCCCAAACUCCUACGGGAGGCAGCAGUAGGGAAUCUUCCACAAUGGACGAAAGUCUGAUGGAGCAACGCCGCGUGAGUGAAGAAGGGUUUCGGCUCGUAAAACUCUGUUGUUAAAGAAGAACAUAUCUGAGAGUAACUGUUCAGGUAUUGACGGUAUUUAACCAGAAAGCCACGGCUAACUA
rnacentral:rRNA from 2 species